GACGAGCCUCACAAACGUUAUUCGGAAUUACUGGGCUUAAAGGGUGCGUAGGCGGCGCGGAAAGUCGCGUGUGAAAGCCCCCGGCUCAACUGGGGAGGGUCACGCGAUACUGAUCGACUGGAAGGCAGGAGAGGGUAGUGGAAUUCCCGGUGUAGUGGUGAAAUGCGUAGAUAUCGGGAGGAACACCAGUGGCGAAGGCGA
rnacentral:rRNA from 1 species